UACGGGGGGGGCAAGCGUUGUUCGGAAUUACUGGGCGUAAAGGGUUCGUAGGUGGCCAACUAAGUCAGACGUGAAAUCCCUCAGCUUAACUGGGGAACUGCGUCUGAGACUGGAUGGCUUGAGUGCAGGAGAGGAACGCGGAAUUCCAGGUGUAGCGGUGAAAUGCGUAGAGAUCCGGAAGAACACCGGUGGCGAAGGCGGCCUGCUGGGCAGUAGCUGACACUGAGGCGCGACAGCGUGGGGAGCAAACAGG
rnacentral:rRNA from 1 species